rnacentral:sRNA from 1 species
UAUAUAGCCAAAGACUCAUACGGACUUCAUCUACACCAUCAAAGCUUUGAGAAGCAAGAAGAGGCUUGGUUAGUGUUGUAGAGUCAAAUAUGACUAGAUGUCAAGUGUAUGAGUGAGUAUAACAACUAGAACCGCAACU